rnacentral:miRNA from 19 species
ACUAAAUAUCAAACAUAUUCUUA